GGCGGCGUGCUUAACACAUGCAAGUCGAACGGUAAUGCCCUUCGGGGUACACGAGUGGCGAACGGGUGAGUAACACGUGAGUAACCUGCCCCGGACUCUGGGAUAAGCAUUCGAAAGGGUGUCUAAUACUGGAUAGGACUCCUGCCUGCAUGGGUGGGGGUGGAAAGAUUUUUUGGUUCGGGAUGGGCUCGCGGCCUAUCAGCUUGUUGGUGGGGUGAUGGCCUACCAAGGCGUCGACGGGUAGCCGGCCUGAGAGGGCGACCGGCCACACUGGGACUGAGAUACGGCCCAGACUCCUACGGGAGGCAGCAGUGGGGAAUAUUGCGCAAUGGGCGGAAGCCUGACGCAGCAACGCCGCGUGCGGGAUGACGGCCUUCGGGUUGUAAACCGCUUUCACCCAUGACGAAAAUUUUUUUGACGGUAGUGGGAGAAGAAGCACCGGCCAACUACGUGCCAGCAGCCGCGGUGAUACGUAGGGUGCGAGCGUUGUCCGGAAUUAUUGGGCGUAAAGAGCUUGUAGGCGGUUUGUCGCGUCGGAAGUGAAAACUCGGGGCUUAACUUCGAGCUUGCUUCCGAUNACGGCUGACUAGAGGAAAGUAGGGGAGAACGGAAUUCCUGGUGGAGCGGUGGAAUGC
rnacentral:rRNA from 1 species